UCGAGGAUCUUCGGCAAUGAGCGCAAGCUUGACCGAGCGACGCCGCGUGAGCGAUGAAGGCCUUCGGGUUGUAAAGCUCUUUAGUGGGGGAGAAAAGCCCGCAAGGGUGUGAUCUAUCCCAAAAAUAAGCACGGGCUAAGUUCGUGCCAGCAGCCGCGGUAAGACGAACCGUGCGAACGUUGUUCGGAAUCACUGGGCUUAAAGGGCGCGUAGGCGGGCUGACAAGUCUGGGGUGAAAUCCCGCGGCUCAACCGUGGAACUGCCUUAGAUACUGUCGGCCUCGAGGAAGGUAGGGGCAUGCGGAACUGUAGGUGGAGCGGUGAAAUGCGUUGAUAUCUACAGGAACUCCGGUGGCGAAAGCGGCGUGCUGGACCUUUUCUGACGCUGAGGCGCGAAAGCUAGGGGAGCAAACG
rnacentral:rRNA from 1 species